rfam:Synergistales bacterium 53_16 MPI_scaffold_9023, whole genome shotgun sequence.
AUAGUCACGAUCAGCAGGCCAGAGACAGCGGGCGCGCCUCGCGCGCUUAAUCGAUACCCGCCGAGGUCUGGGAUAAAGAGUCCGCCCACGGGCGGUAUGUAUACUCUGUCUCCCGGGCCCCGGAGGGUUCGGGAGAUUUUUUGUGAGGAGG